UCCAGCAGGGCUGAGGGUCCUUGUGGCAACCACUCUGAGGCUCCCUGGCCAGGGAUGGGGCAGGGCUGGGAGCAACCCACAGGCAGUCUGUCCUCUGCCAGGUCAGCAGGCACUGAUCUCUGCUCCCGCGGAAUCUUACACUGUCAAAGCCAGGGUCUCUGAUCUCAAGAAGUUUACAGCAAAUAAUGGACACUGACAUUUCAAUCUACCUAUGAGCAGCUUUUCCCAGUCUUUCCUGAUCUUAAGAAUUAUUUAG